GACGAACGCUGGCGGCGUGCUUAACACAUGCAAGUCGAACGGAAAGGCCCUGCUUUUGUGGGGUGCUCGAGUGGCGAACGGGUGAGUAACACGUGAGUAACCUGCCCUUGACUUUGGGAUAACUUCAGGAAACUGGGGCUAAUACCGGAUAGGAGCUCCUGCUGCAUGGUGGGGGUUGGAAAGUUUCGGCGGUUGGGGAUGGACUCGCGGCUUAUCAGCUUGUUGGUGGGGUAGUGGCUUACCAAGGCUUUGACGGGUAGCCGGCCUGAGAGGGUGACCGGCCACAUUGGGACUGGGGUACGGCCCGGACUCCUACGGGAGGCAGCAGUGGGGAAUAUUGCACAAUGGGCGGAGGCCUGAUGCAGCAACGCCGCGUGCGGGAUGACGGCCUUCGGGUUGUAAACCGCUUUCGCCUGUGACGAAGCGUGAGUGACGGUAAUGGGUAAAGAAGCACCGGCUAACUACGU
rnacentral:rRNA from 1 species